ACCGUGAGGAUAGUAUCGUCAUUAACUUUUUUCUUAUCGUUAAAAUACAUCGUGUAAGAUACCGAAUAUGCCAUUCUUUUGCACAAGGCCUAGUAAGCACAAUUAAAUGAGAUUACACAAGUCCAGAGCGAGAGUGCGAGUGCCACAGACAAAGCCCCGGAUGGACAGGUUAAAGACGGAACGAAAGAGGAAACAUGCAACACACGGAAGACCCAUUUCCGCAAGAUCACCCGCUUAAAGGUGAGAUGCAGGAAAAUAAUCUCCGCCAAAGAUUGGAUCCGCAGCCCCAGCCUCAGCCUGAUACACAACAACAACAAGGAGGUGAAGAACAGCUGUUAAAACAUCGCCUGUCUUCGCACCAGCUGUCAGAACAUCACGCACAUCAUGUCCAGGAAAUAUCCAAACAUCCUCACGUCACGGCGGAUUCCAGUAGGAGGAGAGAAGAUGGAUUUAGGCAGAUGACAGUCGGGAGCGGAUCAGCAUCAACAAAGACCUGAUCGGGACGCCGUCGAAUUUCCAGCACAUCGGCCACAUUAAUCGAGAGGUCACGUCCACUCAGACCACGGAGGAAGUCAGAAAUCUCUUCCAAAUGGUAAAUUUAUAUCAAGAACAAGUGGGAUUGUUACCAGGAAAAGUUGCAGAUGAAGAGCCAGUUGGAUUCAGCGGCGGCGAGGGCGUAAACCGGCGGGUCGAUAUUCCGCUGGCAGGUGAUCUCGGCUUCGCGGACACGA
rnacentral:lncRNA from 1 species